UGUAAACCCGUGCCAGCAGCCGCGGUGAUACGGUGGGUGGAUGCGUUAAUCGGAAUUACUGUGCGUAAAGCGUGCGCAGGCGGCUUAGUAAGUCAGAUGUGAAAUCCCUAGGCUCAACCGAGGAACUGCAUGUGAAACUAAUAAACUAGAGUAUCGUAGAGGGAGGUAGAAUUCCAGGUGUAGCGGUGAAAUGCGUAGAUAUCUGGAGGAAUACCAGUGGCGAAGGCGACCUCCUGGACGAAAACUGACGCUCAAGCACGAAAGCAUGGGGAGCAAACAGGAUUAGAUACCCGUGUAGUC
rnacentral:rRNA from 1 species